GUGCAAAUAUGUUGAAGACAAUUCUUUGAUUACAACUGACUCCCCAAAAAGCUGUGAAGACGUUUAUCAAGUGCAGGAGAUACGCUCUGAUCUUGUUGAUCCUGAUGCUUUGGAAGAAAUAAAACAAGGGACUUGGUCGUGCAAAGAGCUACGGAAACUGGUUUUAAAUAUGGUUCUCCCAAGAACAGCUGACAUCGACAAGAAAGGAAAACGGAAGUGGAAAGUGGCUAGAGUGAGAGACUUUUGGCUUAAAG